UUAUCCGGAAUUAUUGGGCGUAAAGGGCUCGUAGGCGGUUCGUCGCGUCCGGUGUGAAAGUCCAUCGCUUAACGGUGGAUCCGCGCCGGGUACGGGCGGGCUUGAGUGCGGUAGGGGAGACUGGAAUUCCCGGUGUAACGGUGGAAUGUGUAGAUAUCGGGAAGAACACCAAUGGCGAAGGCAGGUCUCUGGGCCGUCACUGACGCUGAGGAGCGAAAGCGUGGGGAGCGAACAGGAUUAGAUACCCUGGUAGUCCACGCCGUAAACGGUGGAUGCUGGAUGUGGGGACC
rnacentral:rRNA from 1 species